AUGCUAACUUUGACAGCACACAGGCUAAAAUUGGAAUGAUACAGAAAAGAUGCGUGGCCCUUGCUCAGGGAUGACAUGGAAAUUCAUGAAGCAUUCCAUAUUUCU